CCCGUGCUGCUCCCAGAGCGGCGUCACAAGCACCUCGGGCACACCUUGGUGCCUCGGGCACUUUGGGUGAUUUCCACACUGACUUCAGCUGGACUGGAAAUAUCACAAGGUUAUUCCAGAAUAUUCUACACAUAGAAUGCGAACUGAAGUCCUGCCGUAAUGCCGUGUGUCUCUUUCCCUCAUGCAUCAGUGAAGGAAAGAUCCCACAGCCAUCCAUUGCUUUAAGAGAGGAAGCUUACAGCCUAGUUAUGAGUCAGCAGAUAAUAUAAGAGUGAAAAAACAAUAUAUGGAAACACUCAUCAUUUCCUCUCUGAAAUCCAUAAAGUUUCAGAGCCUGGUCUGGACAAUUUCUGACUGAUACAAACAACCUGAGGAGACUGCAGUGAGCAGCUGAAGUACUGGACGUGCACACGCCAUGCUUGUGUCAUUUAGGUGCAAAAGAAGAUGACACCGAGAGCCCCUGAAAUCCCCCGUUCCAGAGAUAUCUGUCUUGAAAGUGAUAUAUUGAAGAGAUUAUUCUAAAGAACCUUCUGCUGUGCCUCUCUGGAUAAGGGAGAAAGAAUAAUCUGCACAUCUCAGACCUUCAGUUUGUGUCUGACUGCUCUCCAAAUCAAGCAGUGCCAAGUUCACUCCCUCCUGAAGGUAAAUUGCCAUGUUCUUGUACAGCCCUUUCUGUCAACGUUGCACUUCAGUCAACCCACAAAGUUACUGCUAUUAAAAAAGCAAAG